ACAGGGAUUGCCCUAGUAACGGCGAGUGAAGCGGCAACAGCUCAAAUUUGAAAUCUGGCUCUUUCAGAGUCCGAGUUGUAAUUUGCAGAGGGCGCUUUGGCGUUGGCAGCGGUCCAAGUUCCUUGGAACAGGACGUCACAGAGGGUGAGAAUCCCGUACGUGGUCGCUAGCCAUCGCCGUGUAAAGCCCCUUCGACGAGUCGAGUUGUUUGGGAAUGCAGCUCUAAAUGGGAGGUAAAUUUCUUCUAAAGCUAAAUACUGGCCAGAGACCGAUAGCGCACAAGUAGAGUGAUCGAAAGAUGAAAAGCACUUUGGAAAGAGAGUCAAAUAGCACGUGAAAUUGUUGAAAGGGAAGCGCUUGCAGCCAGACUUGCCUGUAGUUGCUCAUCCGGGCUUUUGCCCGGUGCACUCUUCUGCGGGCAGGCCAGCAUCAGUUUGGGCGGUUGGAUAAAGGUCUCUGUCAUGUACCUCUCUUCGGGGAGAACUUAUAGGGGAGACGACAUGCAACCAGCCUGGACUGAGGUCCGCGCAUUUGCUAGGAUGCUGGCGUAAUGGCUGUAAGCGGCCCGUCUUGAAACACGGACCAAGGAGUCUAACAUCUAUGCGAGUGUUUGGGUGUCAAGCCCGAGCGCGUAAUGAAAGUGAACGGAGGUGGGACCCCAUUAGGGUGCACCAUCGACCGAUCCUGAUGUCUUCGGAUGGAUUUGAGUAAGAGCAUGGCUGUUGGGACCCGAAAGAUGGUGAACUAUGCUUGAAUAGGGUGAAGCCAGAGGAAACUCUGGUGGAGGCUCGCAGCGGUUCUGACGUGCAAAUCGAUCGUCAAAUUUGGGCAUAGGGGCGAAAGACUAAUCGAACUAUCUAGUAGCUGGUUCCUGCCGAUU
rnacentral:rRNA from 1 species